GAUGAACGCUGGCGGCGUGCCUAAUACAUGCAAGUCGAGCGGACGGACGAGAAGCUUGCUUCUCUGAUGUUAGCGGCGGACGGGUGAGUAACACGUGGAUAACCUACCUAUAAGACUGGGAUAACUUCGGGAAACCGGAGCUAAUACCGGAUAAUAUUUUGAACCGCAUGGUUCAAAAGUGAAAGACGGUCUUGCUGUCACUUAUAGAUGGAUCCGCGCUGCAUUAGCUAGUUGGUAAGGUAACGGCUUACCAAGGCAACGAUGCAUAGCCGACCUGAGAGGGUGAUCGGCCACACUGGAACUGAGACACGGUCCAGACUCCUACGGGAGGCAGCAGUAGGGAAUCUUCCGCAAUGGGUGAAAGCCUGACGGAGCAACGCCGCGUGAGUGAUGAAGGUCUUCGGAUCGUAAAACUCUGUUAUUAGGGAAGAACAUAUGUGUAAGUAACUGUGCACAUCUUGACGGUACCUAAUCAGAAAGCCACGGCUAACUACGUG
rnacentral:rRNA from 1 species